AGUGGAAAAGGAUGUGGCGUUGCCCAGACAACUAGGAUGUUGGCUUAGAAGCAGCCAUCAUUUAAAGAGUGCGUAAUAGCUCACUAGUCGAGUGACACUGCGCCGAAAAUGUACCGGGGCUAAACAUAUUACCGAAGCUGUGGAUUGUCCUUUGGACAAUGGUAGGAGAGCGUUCUAAGGGCGUUGAAGCAUGAUCGUAAGGACAUGUGGAGCGCUUAGAAGUGAGAAUGCCGGUGUGAGUAGCGAAAGACGGGUGAGAAUCCCGUCCACCGAUUGACUAAGGUUUCCAGAGGAAGGCUCGUCCGCUCUGGGUUAGUCGGGUCCUAAGCUGAGGCCGACAGGCGUAGGCGAUGGAUAACAGGUUGAUAUUCCUGUACCACCUAUAAUCGUUUUAAUCGAUGGGGGGACGCAGUAGGAUAGGCGAAGCGUGCGAUUGGAUUGCACGUCUAAGCAGUAAGGCUGAGUAUUAGGCAAAUCCGGUACUCGUUAAGGCUGAGCUGUGAUGGGGAGAAGACAUUGUGUCUUCGAGUCGUUGAUUUCACACUGCCGAGAAAAGCCUCUAGAUAGAAAAUAGGUGCCCGUACCGCAAACCGACACAGGUAGUCAAGAUGAGAAUUCUAAGGUGAGCGAGCGAACUCUCGUUAAGGAACUCGGCAAAAUGACCCCGUAACUUCGGGAGAAGGGGUGCUCUUUAGGGUUAACGCCCAGAAGAGCCGCAGUGAAUAGGCCCAAGCGACUGUUUAUCAAAAACACAGGUCUCUGCUAAACCGUAAGGUGAUGUAUAGGGGCUGACGCCUGCCCGGUGCUGGAAG
rnacentral:rRNA from 1 species